rnacentral:lncRNA from 1 species
AUACUUCGACCCUUCCCCUUCACCUUCAACCCUAGACUCGCCGCCCUAAGUUUCUUUACCAUCUCCGGCUGGCGGCGGAGCUUCAACCAUCACCAAAAUCCAGCCAUGCAACCAUCAUCCCUCCUUGCAUCCUAAUCCACCACCACUUCUCCCCAAAUCAUCACCAAAUCAGACCAGUUUUGAAUCUAAAAAUCAAAGGAAAGAGAAUCUUUCGGGUCCUCAAGUUCCUAUGAACGAUUGGUCUUGAAACAAAUAUUGUUCGUUUGUUCUCAAAAGGAACAUGCGGUUAAUACCCGUUUUGAGUAAAAACGAAGUCACCUGAAGUUUAUCAGGCUCUGUCUGCAUGGCCUUCGCGGUAUUUUGUUCUUUUUCUUUCAUCUCCGUCUUUUGUGUCGUUCUUGAACUCGUAUCCUUUUCUUUCCGUUUUCUUUUUUACUUGUCCCUCUCCCUUUCUUUUUUUAUUUAGUUUGAUUUCUUGGUUUGAAUCUGGAGAAGUAUUAAAAUACUGAAUAUAGGUUUCUUUGCUUAUAUGGGGGUCGUACUUAUUCUGCGAGCUUUUUAAUUUGCUUAUAAAUGUUCUCGUGAAUACUGUUUAGUUGUGCAUAUGGCCCGUUUAAUAUCUGAUUUUCCAGUCAUAUACUUGGCCUUUGAUAAAUGUGGUAAUUUAGCUUAGUUAUAGUUCAUUAGCUAAUUUAAAAGGGAGUCGGUAAUUUAGCUAAAAUGCCCAUUGUGAAUUUGUUCAGUUGUGUAAUUUUUCUGACUUUUCACGGAAUAGCCAACAUAGGGUUCUGAUUAUGUUAGGGCCUUGGGUUCAAUUCCAACCCAUUGGCAAAGAACAACCUAUUCAUUUGGGGCGUAAGCCAUUGGGUCAAUUUGACCCAUGUUCCAUCUAGGUUCUUAAAGGUAAAAACAGGGGUCUUGAAGGGUAGAUUAGGAAAUCUAUUUGAAGGAAUCUCUAAUAACUGCCUAAGGAAGCUUCUAGGAAGCCGGGGUAGGGAUCAAUCUGAAAUUUUGCAUUUUACACCAAGGACCUUUAAGCAAAAACCAAAAUAUAAAAAGUGGAGAAGUGCAAAACAUAGUUCAUUUUAAGCUGCCCUAGUGCCUUGCCUAUAAAGGCACCAAGACUUGCUAUUCAAGUGAGAUUUUUGGAGAAAAAAAAGAAAGAAAGACUAAAAAAUUAAAAACGGCUAAGCUCUUUGAAAAUUUCUUAAAUCCCGCUUUCCAUCAUUGCAACUGCCAAGAAAAAUUCUGCUUGUUAUGUUUUGGUUUGAGAAAUGGUUUAAGUUUUGGUUCGAAGCUGGUUUGUGAUCUGCUGUUCAUCCAUUGUCCCAUCAAAUGUUUUCGAGCUGGGUUUUACUGUUUCAUUAACUGAAUUUGGGCUCUGUUCUAUUUGCUGCUAGUUACUGAUUCUUCAUUUCUUGGUUUCUAUCUUAUCUCCAGGUACAUGUACUGAAUCCUUUCUAAUGUGAAGCAUCAAAUUGAACAAUGAAAUGGAGAACUGAAAUUCGAAGCAUAUGUCCAGUUUUAUUUUCUUUAGAAUUCAGUUGUAUCUCUUUAUUGUAUGGUUUUUUUCUUCAUAACCGUGAUUCAUUGUCCUCCUAAUUAGAUCUGGUUAGAUAAUGGAGCCUUGUGUUCUUAUACUAAUUUUGGACUCAUAAAAACUAUCGUAGAGGAUUUGUUCCAGUCUCUUGGCAUGUUUUAUCCUGGUGAAAGUUAGCGUUUAUACUUAUUGUAGAUUUUGUACUGAACUUACAAGAUGGCCUGUGUAACCCGUUAAAGGUCACUAUGAGGUGUUUGAACAUGGUUGUGGUGUUUGUUUAUUAAAAUGAGGUUGUUUGGUGAUAUAUGCAUCAUGAACAUAGGAUAGGAGGGGUUUAAUGUGCUUGUCAAUUUUGCUCAUGACUUUUGCAUUGGUUAAUUCAGUGUGUAAUGUCUUUCGAAAUGAAGUUUUAAAUCUUGCAAGAGCU